GCAGCAGGCACGCAAAUUACCCACUCCCGGCACGGAGAGGUAGUGACAAAAAAUAACGAUACGGGACUCUAUUGAGGCCCCGUAAUCGGAAUGAGUACACUUCAAAUCCUUUAGCAAGGAUCCAUUGGAGGGCAAGUCUGGUGCCAGCAGCCGCGGUAAUUCCAGCUCCAAUAGCGUAUAUUAAAGUUGUUGCGUUUAAAAAGCUCGUAGUUGGUUCUGCGUGCCACGCUGCCGGUUCGCCGCCUGUCGGUGUAACUGGCAUGUCGUGGCAUGUACUGUCGGUGGUGAACGGGUGCCUUGCGUAAGUUUCGGCUCACGCCGAUUCCGGUCGCGAGCGCAACCGUUUGCCGAUUUAUCCUACUUCGGUGCUCUUAAACGAGUGUCGAGGUAGGCCGACACAUUUACUUUGAACAAAUUAGAGUGCUUAAAGCAGGCUAAAAUCUCAGCCUGAAUAGUGGUGCAUGGAAUAAUGGAAUAGGACCUCGGUUCUGUUUUGUUGGUUUACGGAACACAAGGUAAUGAUCAAUGUGGACGGUCGGGGGCAUUCGUAUUGCGACGUUAGAGGUGAAAUUCUUGGAUCGUCGCAAGACGCACUAGAGCGAAAGCAUUUGCCAAGUAUGUCUUAAUUGAUCAAGAACGAAAGUUAGAGGUUCGAAGGCGAUCAGAUACCGCCCUAGUUCUAACCAUAAACGAUGCCAGCCAGCGAUCCGCCGAUGUUCUUUUAAUGACCCGGCGGGGAGCUUUCCCCGGGAAACCAAAGCUUUUGGGUUCCGGGGGAAGUAUGGUUGCAAAGCUGAAACUUAAAGGAAUUGACGGAAGGGCACCACCAGGAGUGGAGCCUGCGGCUUAAUUUGACUCAACACGGGAAACCUCACCAGGUCAGGACAUUGUAAUGAUUGACAGAUUGAUCGCUCUUUCUUGAUUCAGUGGGUAGUGGUGCAUGGCCGUUC
rnacentral:rRNA from 2 species